AGUAAAAAUAGAAAAAUAAAAUUCAAAGAGGCAGAUAUUUGCAGAGGAAAGAGAAGCCAAGCGAAGCUCAUUUUCUUUCUCUGGCAGCUUAGACAUAGCACAAUCACAAGCUCCACUCUAGGGUUUCGCUCUUUACUUUCUCUUCAUCACUAACUCGUUUUUCAAAUUCAUGUGCCAUGGAGGUUCGUGAUAGGUGACAUAGUGAAUUCUAUGGUAGUGCGAGGGAGAAGAAAGGUUUUGUGAUGGUUGGCCAAGGCGACGCUUAUGGCUAAGGUUUGAGUCGUGAAAAUGAUUGAUGAACAACGACAUUGGUUUUGAUUUUUGUUUUUGGAUCUGUGUUUGAUAGGCAACCAUGGGGUUAGGGUUCAUGAUGAAGGCAAUGGAGAUGAAGGAUGCGCUCGAAGAGCUUCGCAACUUUGAGUGGCGAUUUUGCGUGUUUUUGGUUUGUUGCAGGUGUGAAGAAGAGGCUCGCGAAUCAUGGCAAUGGAGGGUUGUGGUUUUGCAUUCUAUGGAUUUUGUGUUUUCUGUUUGCAGUGUUGACCGUGAUGGUUGAUGGCGGCAAUGGUUGAUGGCGGCAAUGGAGUGCUUAUUCCCUUUUGUGAGCUGCUUGUGAUUGGCGAUGGAUAAGAUCGUGAUGCGAUUUGGGUUGCAAUCGCAAAUAGGGUUCUUCGAUUUUUGGAUUUCUCUGCUUCUUGGUUGCUUCUAAUUUGUGAUUUUGUGCUCUCUACAAGUUUUGGUGAUGGCUGAUGGGGGAGAUCACGACCAUGUUGUCUCGCGGGUUGCUUUCUCUGUGUUGAUGCGAAGAAGUUGAUGAAGUUGAUUGAGCAAUGACAUCCUUAGAUAUUCGUUCACUGCUUGUAUUCUCUGCCAUUUUUCGAGUUAUUUUGAUUGUGUAUGGAGAGUGGCAAGAUACUCAUAUGGAGGUUAGAUACACCGAUGUUGACUACCUUGUCUUUUCUGAUGCUGCUGCUUUAAUGGCUGUGGGUGAUUCUCCCUAUAAGAGAACCACUUAUCGCUAUUCCCCUUUGCUUGCCUUUCUUCUCAUUCCAAAUUCAUUUAUCCAUCGCUCUUGGGGAAAGUUCCUUUUCUCUGCUUCAGAUAUACUUGUAGGAUAUUUCAUAUAUUAUAUUUUAAAGCUACGGAAGGCUUCAGAAAAUAUGUGCAACAUUUCUGUCAUGGCAUGGCUCUUUAAUCCAUUUACCUUCACCAUUGGGACACGUGGAAACUGUGAGCCUAUUGUUUGUGCGGUGAUAUUAUGGAUCAUGAUCUGUCUUUUGAAAGGUAACGUGUUACAGUCAGCAUUUUGGUAUGGACUUGUUGUCCAUUUCAGGAUUUAUCCUAUAAUUUACUCUAUUCCUAUAAUCCUGGUUCUUGAUCCGAACUUCUUCCCAUCUAAUCAGAAACCUGUCCUAAGGAACUGGAGUGCUGUUCAAGGAGAGAGACCUAAAGAUGGAAGUGGCUCGCAUAGUUUACACAAUCUAUUUAAAAGCAUAUUCACGUGGAACAGGGUGGUAUUUGGACUGGUCUCAGGAUUGGUUUUCCUCUUUUGUACUGGUCUUUUCUACUGUUUAUAUGAGUGGGAAUUCCUACACGAGGCUCUGUUGUACCAUCUUACUAGAACUGAUCCAAGGCAUAACUUCUCCAUCUAUUUCUAUCACAUAUAUCUUCAUUAUGGGUAUGAUACUUCAGUGGUGGAAAAGCUUAUCUCCUUUUUGCCCCAAUUUUUGGUUCAGCUGGUUCUUAUCUUCUGCUUUGCUCAAGAUUUGCCAUUUUGCAUAUUUGUGCAGACCGUGGCCUUUGUGGCAUUCAAUAAGGUGAUUACAGCCCAGUAUUUUGUUUGGUUCUUUUGCUUGUUGCCCCUAAUACUUCCUUGGAGUAAAAUGAAACUUAGAUGGGAUGGGUUAUCUUGCAUUCUUUUGUGGAUUGGGGCUCAGACCCAUUGGUUGAUGUGGGGCUACCUGCUUGAGUUCAAGGGUAAAAAUGUCUUCUUGCAGCUUUGGGCAGCAAGCUUACUGUUUCUAGCAGCCAACAUAUACAUCCUUGUCAUGAUUAUUCGUAACCAUAGAUAUGCUUCAGUUUUCAAAGCUUUAGAGUAUGCUAACUCCAAGAAUGCAGCUAAGCUUGAGUGAGUGACCUUGACGCAAAAUGAUUUCAAUUCAAUUGUUAUUCUUGUGCUUAUUACAUGUUGCCCUCUUCUGUUUUUGGAAGUUAACAUUGCAAAUUCAUGACUGCUGUUGAAGUUGAGAACCAACAAUCAUGUCAAAAUUCGUGGACUAUUAUAUUUUAAACGUGAAAACAAAUUGGUGAAAUCGAUGUAUUCUUGUUAUGUUAAUCCUGUAAUUUUUUUUUUCAAUGCAUUAUCUUAAUCAAUGGAUAUGUUUUUAUCUUAAUCAAUGGAUAUGUUUUUUAUCGCUGUCAGCCUUUUGUUAUUGAUCUGAACUUGUAGAAUUGACCUUAAGAUCUUUCGAGAAAUCUCCUUUUUCUCCUUUGCUGUAUUUGAAAACAUGUCACUUACAAAUUGAUGUUUAAUCAAGGGUCAAAAUUCCUGUCAAGUAACCCCUGAAGCUGAACUAGUUUUAAGGACCAAACUUGUCCACUGGUUUUAUCCCUAAAUCUAGACGGUAGGGCCAGUUCAUCUGAUUGUAAGGAGUCAAGGAGAAAGAGUAAUUUACAUAAAGCAUCAGAACGUCCUAAUGGUUAAAUUGACAGGAUCGUUGGAAAUAGAGCAGUUGUUGAAUAUAUUAUUAGUUCUAGCAUAACAGAGAUAUAGAUUUUUAAGAGUAAAGAAGCCAAUAGGAAGCAUGACAAAAACUUGCAUAUCAAACCAACAGCUAAUGUUCUUCAGGCAUCAAUUGCAUACUCCUCCGACAUUUUCUUGAUUACUGGAAAAUGUAAUACAUUGCCAAACUUUACCCAAACAAACAUGCUAGACGAGAAUUGUCAUGAAAUGAAGAUAAAAGGAUGUUGGUAUCAGAGGUGUACCAUGUGAGAUGUGGUGUACCUAAACAACAUCAAAUCAUUGCUCUUCGAAUUUAUUACUGCUUUAAAGGGUAUCUGAGAUUCGUCAACUACAACCUGUAAAAAAGGCGAGGGAUGUUUUCAUUUGGGAAUUUGCGUGCUGGUCCUUAGUGUUGUGAGGCUUAGGCAAAGGUUAGUCGAAAUGAGACCACACGUUGAGAUGAAGCCACACAAAAAAUCUUAGUGGCCAAACUUCAUGGCUCAUUUUGCAAACAUUCUGCCAGCCUUCUGAUGCUGAAGAAGAUUGUAUCUGGCAAAGUGUGGUGAGGUUAGAAACAUGGGAUUCGUUGGGGUCCUGUUUCUGUAAGGCUGAGGUUUUCUAAUGUUGAAACCCUAGAGGCCUAAGGUAUGGUAAGACUAAGGUUGUCUUUUGGCCAUUGGAGCAAAGUCAGAUUAGACAAAUGGCAACCACCUCCAAUGCCAAAAAGAUGAUGAUGGGGGACAUAGAAGAGGAGGAUACCACACGUAGCGGUCAACCUCGCUAUAGCGGGAUAAAUUAUAGAGGGGUAGUCACUAUUUUGAAUUUUUUAUGUAGUUUAUAUCAUGUAUACUAAACACAUUUAUAUUAACAAUGAUCUUAACAAAAAAAUACAAAAAUAUACUAACGAGUCAAAUUCAAGUUUUAUAUAUAGUUGUUAAGAAUUUGAAAUUUAGAACAUAAUGUCUUUGUUUAGAUUUUUUUUUUCUUUGAAAUUAACACAUGCUGCCGUCAAAACUGUUUUAGCUCACUAUUUGGUUACCUAUGACUGUUGCACUAAAUUGCUGCACUUGCUUCACUAUGAACUCCUAUAGUUUACAAGGGCCACUCUCCCA